rnacentral:rRNA from 1 species
AGAGUGAACGCUGGCGGUAGGCCUAACACAUGCAAGUCGAACGGCAGCACGGUAAGAGCUUGCUCUUAUGGGUGGCGAGUGGCGGACGGGUGAGGAAUACAUCGGAAUCUACCUUUUGGUGGGGGAUAACGUAGGGAAACUUACGCUAAUACCGCAUACGCCCUUCGGGGGAAAGCCGGGGACCAGCAAUGGCCUGGCGCUGAUAGAUGAGCCGAUGUCGGAUUAGCUAGUUGGUGAGGUAAUGGCUCACCAAGGCGACGAUCCGUAGCUGGUCUGAGAGGAUGAUCAGCCACACUGGAACUGAGACACGGUCCAGACUCCGUACGGGAGGCAGCAGUGGGAAUAGUUGGACAAGUGGGCGCAAGCCUGAUCCAGCCAUACCGCGGUGGUGAAGAAGGCCGUUCGGUUAGUAACGUCCGUUUAGUUA